AUUAUUGCAGGGAAUGAGAAAGCUGGAUAAAGUAUAUUGAAAAAUAUGAAAAAGAAAAAAGAUGAAGAAUUCAGAAGGACAACAUAUGCCAAUAUUCAUCCUGGGAAAAAAGGGAGCAUUAUUUUUUUUUGGAAGGAAGAAGGAGAAAGGAAGGAAUGAGCAUCCUGGGAAAGGCAGGUGCUAGGAUGUUCAUCAGUGGUGCCACAAAAUCCACUUUAGUUCUUUGGUCACUCCAUUCAUCAAGGCAGCUCAGGAAAACUGUUUGAAAAGCACAGGAGAAAGUAGGAGGUGCUCCAAAGGAGGAGGAGGCAAACAUUUGCUCAAGCUUAUCUGGAGUUUCCUAUCCUCUCACAGCCAGGGAGGUCUCAAUUGGAAAGGACUUCUGAGAAGAGGUUGUAGAUUCUAAAGAAGUAGCAUCCUAUGAAGAGAAAGGACUAGGCUGGGACAGAAAAGGGUCAAAAUGACUGACCUGAAAGAAGCCAUGAAGAAGAAAAAGAAUUAACAAAAAGCAUCAUAUGGUCUUUUCCCACAAUAAUUGUAUUGUGUUCAGCUAGGUGCAUAUCAUAGUGGAGAAAAGAUAAAUAUGAGAAAAGUUUUUAUAACAUAAUAUUCUUGUGUAAUUCUCAUUAUUGAAAUAAGAACUUAACAAAUAAAUGUUUUACAUUCCACGGAAGAAACAGACAAUAAUGAGGAAGGAGGACAAAUAUCAUUUAUGAAAUUAUUUAAAUAAUGGUGAUUUUAAUUAAAUUCUUUGCUUCUGAAUGACUUUUAAAGACAUAUGUUUUCUUUGUAAAGUCAAUCACCUCUUGGCAUUAUUUAAUCCUUCUCAACAUUAGGCUAAUGUUCCAAAAUGUUUUAAA
rnacentral:lncRNA from 1 species